CCUGACGCAGCGACGCCGCGUGGAUGACGAAGGCCGAAAGGUUGUAAAAUCCUUUUGCUGGGGAAGAAUAAGCAUGGGAGGGAAUGCCCGUGUGAUGACAUGAACCGGCGAAUAAGCCCCGGCUAACUACGUGCCAGCAGCCGCGGUAACACGUAGGGGGCGAGCGUUGUUCGGAAUUACUGGGCGUAAAGGGCAUGUAGGCGGCCUUGUAAGCCUGGCGUGAAAUUCCACGGCUCAACCGUGGGAAUGCGUCGGGAACUGCGAGGCUUGAGUGACGGAGAGGGAGCUAGAAUUCCUGGUGUAGGGGUGAAAUCUGUAGAUAUCAGGAAGAAUACCAAUGGCGAAGGCAAGCUCCUGGCCGAUGACUGACGCUGAGGUGCGAAAGUGUGGGGAUCAAACAGGAUUAGAUACCCUGGUAGUCCACACGGUAAACGAUGUGCACUAGGUGCUGGGGCGGAUGCUUCAGUGCCGGAGCUAACGCGGUAAGUGCACCGCCUGGGGAGUAUGCUCGCAAGGGUGAAACUUAAAGGAAUUGACGG
rnacentral:rRNA from 1 species